rnacentral:rRNA from 1 species
AGUCGAGCGAGUCUGCCUUGAAGAUCGGAGUGCUUGCACUCUGUGAAACAAGAUACAGGCUAGCGGCGGACGGGUGAGUAACACGUGGGUAACCUGCCCAAGAGAUCGGGAUAACACCUGGAAACAGAUGCUAAUACCGGAUAACAACAGAUGAUGCCUAUCAACUGUUUAAAAGAUGGUUCUGCUAUCACUCUUGGAUGGACCUGCGGUGCAUUAGCUAGUUGGUAGGGUAACGGCCUACCAAGGCGAUGAUGCAUAGCCGAGUUGAGAGACUGAUCGGCCACAUUGGGACUGAGACACGGCCCAAACUCCUACGGGAGGCAGCAGUAGGGAAUCUUCCACAAUGGACGCAAGUCUGAUGGAGCAACGCCGCGUGAGUGAAGAAGGGUUUCGGCUCGUAAAGCUCUGUUGUUGGUGAAGAAGGACAGGGGUAGUAACUGACCUUUGUUUGACGGUAAUCAAUUAGAAAGUCACGGCUAACUACGUGCCAGCAGCCGCGGUAAUACGUAGGUGGCAAGCGUUGUCCGGAUUUAUUGGGCGUAAAGCGAGUGCAGGCGGCUCGAUAAGUCUGAUGUGAAAGCCUUCGGCUCAACCGGAGAAUUGCAUCAGAAACUGUCGAGCUUGAGUACAGAAGAGGAGAGUGGAACUCCAUGUGUAGCGGUGAAAUGCGUA